CUGCAAUGUGCUUAGCUGCUGUGAAGCUAAGCUGGUAAGGUAACAGCAAUAUGCUUAACUGCUGGGAAGCUAAACUGGUAAGGUAACAGCAAUAUGCUUAACUGCUGUGAAGCUAAGCUGGUAAGGUAACAGCAAUAUGCUUAACUGCUGGGAGGCUAAACUGGUAAGGUAACAGCAAUAUGCUUAACUGCUGGGAAGCUAAGCUGGUAAGGUAAUAGUAAAGAAAGUCUUACUUUGGUGGAAAUAGCUGAAACUGCCGCUGUUCUUUUCUCUGUGAUGACAGUUCCAUCCAUAACCUAAGCAUAUCAACC